UGGGGAAUAUUGCACAAUGGGCGCAAGCCUGAUGCAGCCAUGCCGCGUGUGUGAAGAAGGCCUUCGGGUUGUAAAGCACUUUCAGCGGGGAGGAAGGGAGUAAAGUUAAUACCUUUGCUCAUUGACGUUACCCGCAGAAGAAGCACCGGCUAACUCCGUGCCAGCAGCCGCGGUAAUACGGAGGGUGCAAGCGUUAAUCGGAAUUACUGGGCGUAAAGCGCACGCAGGCGGUCUGUCAAGUCGGAUGUGAAAUCCCCGGGCUCAACCUGGGAACUGCAUUAGAAACUGGCAGGCUAGAGUCUUGUAGAGGGGGGUAGAAUUCCAGGUGUAGCGGUGAAAUGCGUAGAGAUCUGGAGGAAUACCGGUGGCGAAGGCGGCCCCCUGGACAAAGACUGACGCUCAGGUGCGAAAGCGUGGGGAGCAAACAGG
rnacentral:rRNA from 1 species